rnacentral:snRNA from 1 species
GUAAAAGCUCAAUUUCUCAUU